UCUCCAUUUUACUUUUUCAUCAUUUUUCAUUUUUCAUUCUUUUUUUUUACUCAAAGUCCCCUUUUCCACCUUGGUCCUUUCUUCUUCUUUAAACGAAAUAUUUCUCGACUGGAUCUGAAUUUAUUGGAUUAGCAAACUCACUCAGGAUUAGCGUUUCUCUGAAAAAGGUCUUCUUUAUGACAUAGGGACAUUCCCGGUUUGGCAUUCAUUUCCCUCUAGAAUCCUU
rnacentral:lncRNA from 1 species